AAAAUAUGUAGACCUAACAUCUAUCUCCCUGCUCCAGUUUCAAGAGAAAAGACCUUAUUCAGAGAAAUAUUUAGAAGACUCUUGUGGAAUUCUUGCUGUGAGUGGUUUUUCCUUCCCUGCCAUUGGUGCGACUGUUUCCCCCUUCCGUCAAAUUGCUGUCUAGAUGUUUCUCUCUGACCCCAAUUUUCUCGGAGUUUGGGAUUAUCAAUCUAAAAUCAGAGGGAGGAACUUGGAUUGUCCUUCAGUAAAAUUCCACUUUGAUGCGCAAAGCGAACUUGAAUUUCUGCUUGGCCUACCACAGGCCUGCAACAUGCACUUUCUCCUCGAGGGAACUGCCACUCACUGACACGGACAACAGUAAAGGAACUUGGUCUUCACUAUGCCUCAUAGUGGUGGGUCACACUGCCCAGGAGGAACCCGCAAUGAGACCGGCAAAUGCCUUAACCAUCUCAUUGUCUCAUCAGGAAGAAGCUUAAAUGACUCUUCUUGCUCACAUACUUCCUGGGCAAACAUGUCUGCUCUGUUGGGAUAAAGGACGCUCUAGACCAGGCUCUGCUGAAAGAUCCAGGGCAAAGGUUCCUGACAAGACUAUGUCCAGCCUCAAAUAAGGCCACAGAAGAGCCCAGGCUCGCUGACGAGCACCGGCUCCGAGGCAGUCACAUCAGGAGACAGAAACAGACAUGUUGGUGCUGCCCUCUCAGGUCAGUGCAAAUGCCACUUGAGGAGGGCUGAGAGCUUUGCAGCAUAAAAUGACCAGAACAAGGAGAAACACAGAUGCAAUGGCAAUAGCUGGCAAUUCGCACAUGGCGUCAAACACCACUGCCACAGAAGCUUUUUAGCUACAAGCCACGCUAUGCAACCUUUAAGCAAAACAUUAUUGAUUUUGUGGUUGUAAAAACAUACCUUCAACUGCAGAACUCAGUUUUAUGACACCUUGAAUAAAAACAAAAAGUGGCAGUUAUAUAAUGGACCCAAAUCGCCUUUUCCAGGCUUCUCAUAACACACGCAUGCUUCAGAUUUGGAUUUUUCUUUUUCUGCUGGCAUUGCAAGAACGUAACUAAACAAAUAUCAACUUCAAAAAUAAAAUAAUUUUUAGUCUUAACUAGGUCUCAUGGAUGUCUUCUUUUCCCCCACUAAAACCAUUUGGGGAAAUUUUUCACUAAAAAUGGGAUCAAACAUGUUUUUGGAUGGGACAAAGGCCAAGUCUGCCUGAGUGACUAUUUCUGUGUAUAAAUUAUACCAGAUUAUGGAUCAAUAAAAGUUCACACAAUAGGAUGCUAGGGACCAGCACUUCCUCUUUGAUACUGUAUCUAGAGAUCAUCUGAUGCAUGUUAGGACAGAGUUUCUGUUGAAACAUGUAACAGGUGGUUAAAAACCAUGGUGUGAUCUGGUAACUUUCUUCUCUGGGGUGGUUGGGCCAGAGCCCUUUUCUUGGUCUGAUGGGUUUAGAUUUCAGCUCCCUCAAGUCAGAGAGUGAACGGGUUAUCUGAGCAAGUCAAGUUGUUCAUGAAGCAAGUCAGUACCCUUGACUGAUAUUUAUGCACCUUUGCAGUGAAUUUUUUUUUUUUUUGAGACAGAGUCUCGCUCUGUCACCCAGGCUGGAGUGCAGUGGCGCAAUCUCGGAUCUUGGAUCUCGGCUCACUGCAACCUCUGCCUCCUGGGUGGACGCCAUUCUCCUGCCUCAGCCUCCCGAGUGGCUGGGACUACAGGCGCCCGCCAGCACGCCCGGCUAAUUUUUUGUAUUUUUAGUAGAAACAUGGUUUCACUGUA
rnacentral:lncRNA from 10 species